rnacentral:snoRNA from 1 species
AAGACUAUACUUUCAGGGAUCAUUUCUAUAGUUUGUUACUAGAGAAGUUUCUCUGAAUGUGUAGAGCACCCGAAACCAUGAGGAGGGAGAUGUAGUGUCCUCUCCUGAGCGUUGAGCUGGCCUUGGUGUUGCUCUGCAGCUGCCCACUGGCCAUUGGAUGAUCGUUUCUUCCUCUUCCUUUGGGGAGAGUAAGAGGGAGAGGACACCGUCUGAGUGGU